rnacentral:tRNA from 1 species
GGAGAGGUAGCUCAGUGGUAGAGCGCAAGACUUGAAUGCUUGACUCGGAGACUCCAGACUCAAUUCUGGCAGAGCCA